rnacentral:rRNA from 1 species
UACGUAGGGUGCAAGCGUUGUCCGGAAUUAUUGGGCGUAAAGAGCUCGUAGGCGGUCUGUCGCGUCGAAUGUGAAAACCCGGGACUCAACUCCGGGCCUGCAUUCGAUACGGGCAGACUAGAGUUCGGUAGGGGAGACUGGAAUUCCUGGUGUAGCGGUGAAAUGCGCAGAUAUCAGGAGGAACACCGGUGGCGAAGGCGGGUCUCUGGGCCGUAACUGACGCUGAGGAGCGAAAGCAUGGGGAGCGAACAGG